rnacentral:tRNA from 1 species
GGCAUAUUGCUGGGCGACUCGACGGAAUCAUAAUCCGCAGGUCCGGGGUUCGAGUCCCUGAUUCGCCACCA